AAAUUGAAGAGUUUGAUCAUGGCUCAGAUUGAACGCUGGCGGCAGGCCUAACACAUGCAAGUCGAACGGUAACAGGAAACAGCUUGCUGUUUCGCUGACGAGUGGCGGACGGGUGAGUAAUGUCUGGGAAACUGCCUGAUGGAGGGGGAUAACUACUGGAAACGGUAGCUAAUACCGCAUAACGUCGCAAGACCAAAGAGGGGGACCUUAGGGCCUCUUGCCAUCGGAUGUGCCCAGAUGGGAUUAGCUAGUAGGUGGGGUAAAGGCUCACCUAGGCGACGAUCCCUAGCUGGUCUGAGAGGAUGACCAGCCACACUGGAACUGAGACACGGUCCAGACUCCUACGGGAGGCAGCAGUGGGGAAUAUUGCACAAUGGGCGCAAGCCUGAUGCAGCCAUGCCGCGUGUAUGAAGAAGGCCUUCGGGUUGUAAAGUACUUUCAGCGGGGAG
rnacentral:rRNA from 1 species